rnacentral:rRNA from 1 species
UGGGGAAUUUUGGACAAUGGGCGAAAGCCUGAUCCAGCAAUGCCGCGUGUGUGAAGAAGGCCUUCGGGUUGUAAAGCACUUUUGUCCGGAAAGAAAUCCUUGGCUCUAAUACAGUCGGGGGAUGACGGUACCGGAAGAAUAAGCACCGGCUAACUACGUGCCAGCAGCCGCGGUAAUACGUAGGGUGCAAGCGUUAAUCGGAAUUACUGGGCGUAAACGCGUGCGCAGGCGGUUUGCUAAGACCGAUGUGAAAUCCCCGGGCUCAACCUGGGAACUGCAUUGGUGACUGGCAGGCUAGAGUAUGGCAGAGGGGGGUAGAAUUCCACGUGUAGCAGUGAAAUGCGUAGAGAUGUGGAGGAAUACCGAUGGCGAAGGCAGCCCCCUGGGCCAAGUACUGACGCUCAUGCACG